rnacentral:tRNA from 1 species
GCCGGGGUAGCCAAGCCAGGUAAGGCGUACGCCUUGAGAGCGUAUGGCCCAUCGGGCCUCAGGGGUUCAAAUCCCCUCCCCGGCG